rnacentral:rRNA from 1 species
CUACGGGCCGCUCCAGUGGGGAAUAUUGGACAAUGGGGGAAACCCUGAUCCAGCAAUGCCGCGUGUGUGAAGAAGGCCUGCGGGUUGUAAAGCACUUUCGGUUGGGAGGACUGCUUCUAGCACUAAUAUUGUUGGAAGUUGACGUUACCUUCAGAAGAAGCACCGGCUAGCUCCGUGCCAGCAGCCGCGGUAAUACGGAGGGUGCAAGCGUUAAUCGGAAUUACUGGGCGUAAAGCGCGCGUAGGCGGCUAGAUCAGUCGGGUGUGAAAGCCCCGGGCUUAACCUGGGAGCUGCAUCCGAUACUGUCUAGCUUGAGUACAGGAGAGGAGAGUGGAAUUCCACAUGUAGCGGUGAAAUGCGUAGAUAUGUGGAGGAACACCAAUGGCGAAGGCAGCUCUCUGGCCUGAUACUGACGCUGAUGUGCGAAAGCGUGGGGAGCAAACAGGAUUAGAUACCCGCGUAGUC